CCUACGGGGGGCAGCAGUAGGGAAUCUUUCACAAUGGGCGAAAGCCUGAUGGAGCAACGCCGCGUGCAGGAUGAAGGCCUUCGGGUUGUAAACUGCUUUUAUAAGCGAGAAAUAUGAUGGUAACUUAUGAAUAAGGAUCGUCUAACUACGUGCCAGCAGCCGCGGUCAUACGUAGGAUCCGAGCAUUAUCCGGAGUGACUGGGUGUAAAGAGUUGCGUAGGUGGCCUAAUAAGUAGCUAGUGAAAUCUGGUGGCUCAAACAUUCAGACUAUUAGCUAAACUGUUAAGCUCGAGACCGUUAGGGGUAACUGGAAUUUCUAGUGUAGGAGUGAAAUGCGUAGAUAUUAGGAGGAACACCGAUAGCGUAGGCAGGUUACUGGGACGGUUCUGACGCUAAGGCUCGAAAGCGUAGGGAGCAAACGGGAUUAGAUACCCCAGUAGUC
rnacentral:rRNA from 1 species